GACGAACGCUGGCGGCGCGCUUAACACAUGCAAGUCGAACGGAAAGGCCUGCUUUCCCUUGUGGAUUGCGGGUACUCGAGUGGCGAACGGGUGAGUAACACGUGAGUGAUCUGCCCCCAACUUGGGUAUAAGCCUGGGAAACUGGGUCUAAUUCCCGAUAGGACUGCAGGGUGGUGCCUGUGGUGGAAAACGAUUUUCUAGUGGUUGGGGAUGAGCUCGCGGCCUAUCAGCUUGUUGGUGGGGUAAUGGCCUACCAAGGCGGCGACGGGUAGCCGGCCUGGGAGGGUGGACGGGCACAUUGGGACGGAGAUACGGCCCAGGCUCCUACGGGAGGCAGCAGUGGGGAAUAUUGCACAAUGGGCGGAAGCCUGAUGCAGCGACGCCGCGUGGGGGAUGACGGCCUUCGGGUUGUAAACUCCUUUCGACCGCGAGGAAGCCACCUGGUUGGAAGGGUGGUGACGGUAGUGGUAGAAGAAGCACCGGCUAACUACGUG
rnacentral:rRNA from 1 species